GUGCUCCGCGAUGAACUUCUACACACUAAUUCUCACUUCAGAGACUGCUGCUCCCUCUCCACAUGACACCUUUCCAGGUCUGGAAUAACUGCCCCUUACAUGUGUGUCAUCCGUCCUCAACACUUGCUACCAUUGUAGCAGUAUUUCAAUUGCCAAUUUAUUCAUCUCUUUUUCCUCAUCUAUCUUUCUAGGAAAACCAUAAGCUUCUCGAGAGCAGGAACUAUGUUCUCAAUGCCAAAGAUAUUCAAUAAAUACUUGAUGAAAGAAGGCAUCUGCUAAUGAAAGGCUGCAAACAGCAUCUUUUGUGGUAAAUAUGACAUCCACUUCAUAAAGUGAAGCAGAAGAUAAAGCCCAUCGGUUUUGGCCUAAAACCAGAGCCAGAGCCUCCAUUCUGCAGCGCUGCCUCCCUUUCAAAAGAAAAGUGAGGUGUGUACGAGUCCAGGCUCACCUACUGAUCCCCCCAAAAAUGUCAGACCUGCCGCCCGCAGAAGUCGUCCACAUUUCUAUUUCGAUGGCUCCCUCGCUGGCCGGCUCUGUUUAAGACUGAAGAAUGAAUUAAACUUCGCUCUAGUCGUUGACGGUCUCUACUUCUAAGUGGAAAAGCCUGAGAACUAACUGAAUUUUACACAAUCAUCUCCCAAACCCUAACCGGACCCUCUCCAACACGUGAGUGUGCCAUCUCCCCAUACAGUAGUAAGAACUGGAACAAUGUUUUAGUGAACUAAAGCAAAGCAUGAAAAGCAAUUGUUGUCUUUCUGCCUCUACCACACUUUUACUCUUCCUCCCUUCCCUCCAACUAAAGAUGGAUCCUAAACCUUCUAUGACGUUUCAAGGAAAACGGAAUUUAGAACCCUGGCAGGCGUUUGACCUCCCAUCUCUCCCAUCCAGCAUGAUGGCAGCUCCGAGGCUUAGAAGUGCUACAAGGCGGUCUGCAGGAAAUAAGCUUAGAAGGCCUGGGCCUGGGUCCCAGCUUCACUGA
rnacentral:lncRNA from 1 species